rnacentral:rRNA from 1 species
AGAGAGAGACAUGCGCGCAUAUCAAUAAGCGGAGGAAAAGAAACUAACUAGGAUUCCCUCAGUAACGGCGAGUGAAGCGGGAAGAGCUCAAAUUUGAAAUCUUCAAGGUUCUACCUUGACGAAUUGUAGUUUAAAGAAGUGUUUUCUGUUGAAGUUUUGGUAAAAGUUCUUUGGAAUAGGACAUCAUAGAGGGUGAGAAUCCCGUAUUUGACCAUUAUUUUCAGCUUUGUGAUACACUUUCAAAGAGUCGGAUUGUUUGGGAAUGCAGUCCAAAAUGGGUGGUAAAUUUCAUCUAAAGCUAAAUAUUGGCGAGAGACCGAUAGCGAACAAGUACCGUGAGGGAAAGAUGAAAAGAACUUUGAAAAGAGAGUUAAACAGUACGUGAAAUUGUCAAAAGGGAAGCGUUUGACACCAGUGUUGUUUUCUCGAAAAUCAAUUAAAAAAGACAGGAUUUUGUGUUGUAUUGACUUUAUCAGCUUUCUGCACUCUUUUCUUGUCUUUUUUAAUGCACUUUUCGUUUAACAAGUCAACAUCAAUUUCUUUUGUUGUAAAAGGGUCAUUGGAAGGUGGCUUUCUUUUCGGAGAAAGUGUUUAUAGCCUUUGGCCUCUGCAAUCGGAGAGAUUGAGGUCUGCAGCGUAGAUCCUUCGGGGUUAGAUACAUUUGUGCUAAGUUAUAGCCUUUCAUAGACAACUUGUUGACUAUGAUCAGUCAUGUAGCUUACUCGCUUAUGCUAUUUUACCUACGCUUAGGAUGUUGAAGUCAUCGUAUCGCGC